AACGAACGCUGGCGGCAUGCCUAACACAUGCAAGUCGAACGAGACCUUCGGGUCUAGUGGCGCACGGGUGCGUAACGCGUGGGAACCUGCCCUUAGGUUCGGAAUAACUCCCCGAAAGGGGUGCUAAUACCGGAUAAUGUCUUCGGACCAAAGAUUUAUCGCCUUUGGAUGGGCCCGCGUUGGAUUAGCUAGUUGGUAGGGUAAAAGCCUACCAAGGCGACGAUCCAUAGCUGGUCUGAGAGGAUGAUCAGCCACACUGGGACUGAGACACGGCCCAGACUCCUACGGGAGGCAGCAGUGGGGAAUAUUGGACAAUGGGCGAAAGCCUGAUCCAGCAAUGCCGCGUGAGUGAUGAAGGCCUUAGGGUUGUAAAGCUCUUUUACCCGGGAUGGUAAUGACAGUACCGGGAGAAUAAGCUCCGGCUAACUCCGUG
rnacentral:rRNA from 1 species